AUGGAUGGUUCUCUCUCGGCGUCAGGCAAAACUGGAGAGAAUACAAAUGUGAAGAUGAUAAACAGAGAACAGGAAGGGUUACCAGGCAGGUCUCGACAGGACAGGACUAGAACAGAGACUAACAGGAUAGUUGUCUGCUUCUUGCGAGAAAAACUCAAACGAGAAUCUGACAAAGGAGGCAGCAAAAACAGAGGGAAAAAUAGAGGAAUAAUCAGAGGGAAAAGGGAACAGGUUAAGAAGCCUAGUAUGAGCACUAUUCUGUCUGAGUGUCUCUGUUAACGCCCUACAUUCCAGCCCGACUUUUUUACGCCCCUCAGACCUGGCUUCGGAACAAUUUUCACUUCAUAGUUCAGACGCGGGCCGGGCCUCAGUCCAGUUUAAGGCUUCUCCUUACCUUUGCUGUUUUAGACAUCUAUCAAUUAGUGAUGAAAAAAAUUGCAGCGCUGGUGGAAACCACAUAAGACCUUGCUACCGCGACUGUCAAGAGCAGCUCGACGGUGUUUAGUGUCCCACAGCAGCAGCAGCAUGUAAGGUGUGUGCCGUCAGCGCAGAUGAAGAGUUCUGCAUUCAAAUGCACGUAAUAAGCUUGCCGCAAAGCAUCUGCAAAAGUAAUUACCAUAAAUAUGUCUGGGGGAAAUAGUAAGGAGAUAUUUGAAUUAUUUACUAAUAAAAAGUGUUUUCUGAGUCAGUGUCGCAAGGAUGAAGUUGCCGAUCCUGACUCACCAUUUCCUCAUUAAGACGCGCCUUUAGAGAGAAGUGAAUCUUUACGGAUAUUAUUAUAAUAAAAGUGUUUUUGUUUUUGUUUUUAUUUCAUUAAGUAGUCAUUUAAAGCUUUCUAUAGAUAUAUUUAUCAUGUCUGUGAGGCAUGUAUUCGCUGAGUUUUGGUUCAUUUUUGUGAAGCGCUCCUGUUUAAGACGAGACGGCAGAAAGCGCAUCAUGUUUUCUUUAUUUUAUAAAAGCACAACUACGCAAAGCAUCUGCAAAAGUAAUUACCAUAAAUAUGUCUGGGGGAAAUAGUAAGGAGAUAUUUGAAUUAUUUACUAAUAAAAAGUGUUUUCUGAGUCAGUGUCGCAAGGAUGAAGUUGCCGAUCCUGACUCACCAUUUCCUCAUUAAGACGCGCCUUUAGAGAGAAGUGAAUCUUUACGGAUAUUAUUAUAAUAAAAGUGUUUUUGUUUUUGUUUUUAUUUCAUUAAGUAGUCAUUUAAAGCUUUCUAUAGAUAUAUUUAUCAUGUCUGUGAGGCAUGUAUUCGCUGAGUUUUGGUUCAUUUUUGUGAAGCGCUCCUGUUUAAGACGAGACGGCAGAAAGCGCAUCAUGUUUUCUUUAUUUUAUAAAAGCACAACAUUUUGUUGAUAUUGUGAGUGUACACAAAUAAAAGUAGACCAUUUACAGUUAUGAAUGUUGUAUUACUCUUACCUUUAUGAGCAAAAAUAACGACAUAUCCACUGAAAAAAUGCAAGUGAUCAGCUAUGUCCUGCAAAGCACACUUAUCUUGGUUUAACGUUUAAACAUUGUUAUAUGCUUGAACUGUUUUAUAUCUAUAGAUUUUAUUUUAGGCAAGUCGUGAUGAUUUGAGAAGGCUUAAUUGAUCAAACAAAGGCUCACUAUCUGCCGCUGGCCACUUGGUCGUUACUUUAAAAAACAAAAACUUAUAUUUAACUAACAAAACGGCUUCAAAUGCUUUUCUAAGUUAAUUUAAUAAUAAUAAAAAAACAAUAAUUAAAUGAAAUAUAAUCACUUUGCGAUUACAUACAAACUGAGCUAUUUUAAUGGCUGAAACAGUAGUAUAAGCUGUUUUGGGAGAAGGGGGAAAAAGACGGGCUCGGGACGGUAAUUCUGAUAAGCUGUGGGACACGGGCCAGGCUCUGUAAUGUGCAGCUUAACAAGUAACACAACAGUGCUGUGUGAAAGGAACUGGACCGGACAACUUUCUGUAACUUCAUAAAGUGCGACUCCAGUAGUUUACAAAUGUGUGGAUAUAAUCUGUGUGUCAGCUGAAGGUUUUAGGUUCAGUCACUGUGUUCCAUCAGAAGUGCUGCUUCUAAGUCUCAAUUUCAAAUCCGGAGAAGGAAAAACAGUAACUUUAUUGCUUAAUGUGAUCAAUUAUACUUUAAACGGCUAUGAUUUAAUUAAUCAAACAUGAGCAUGGCAUGUUUCAAAAUAAAAACGCAGUUAGCAAUCAACAAAUAGCUCACAUAUAUGCCAACUUCUGUUUCAAUCUACUGAUGAUGAAUAACAGGGCUCUCAAGUUUUGAACUGAGUUCAGAGUGAGAUUUUGGCGGCGGCCGCGACGGCGGCAGGGGUUUGAUGGGGACGGGUGUCUGAUCUCAUAAAUGACACAUAUUCUUACAAAUAAAAUAAUAUUUAUUUAAUUCAGCAUUUAUUUGUGUGUGUGUGUGUGUGUGUGUGUGUGUGUGUGUGAGAGAGAGAGAGAUAAUGGUCAGUUGUUGUUUAUUAGUAAAUGUUGGUAGUCGUUGGUUUUAAAUUAAUUUAAUUUAAUUACUAGCAUUAUUUGUUGUGUGUGUGUGUGUGUGUGUGUGUGUGUGUGUGAGAGAGAGAGAGAUAAUGGUCAGUGUUGUUUAUUGUAAAUGUUGGUAGCUGGUUUUGAGGCCUUCAGCACAGGGGUUGGUGGCUCCUAUUUGAAGCCCUGUGGUUCCAGGCCUGCCAUUUUUACUGUCAUGAUGGAUGACAGGGUUCCAUCAAGUGCUAAGCUGUUCAUGGUUUUGGUCUUGUUUAAUCCCACCAUGGAGAAAACCCUCUCGGCGUCGGCAUUUGAAUGAGGAAGCACUAACACCAAUGCAGCUAUUUUAGAAAGCCUCCCAAACUGGCUCAAACCAGUCACCUUUGAAAAAAGGAACCAAGAGCCUCUAUUACUCAAAUGCUUUGCUUUUUUGAUUUCAGUUGUGUGUAUGUCAUGUGAUGCCAAAUAUUUCUUACUUUGCACUUGAUUGAGGACAUACUCCCCCAAAACUCCUCAACGUUAAAGGUGGUGGGAUCUUGUGGCAUGGGAGUAUCCAUGAGUUGAUAUUCCAAGAACUCCUCACUCACCUUGUCCUGUUCCUCUGGCCCAUUGAAAGGAAGUAGUUCCUGAAAUCUAAAAAGAGCACCAUGUGUAAAGAACGGAUUAAGUAUUUGUUUUGUGACCAUGGUCCAAAUUAAACUUAGUAUUAAAUAUGUUGAAAUCUUGGAAAAUGUGAAACCGUUGCCUGUCUACGAAGUACAGUAUAGGGCAUCUUCCACCCCACACUCUGUCCUCUGCUGCACAUCAACGAAUUGAGCGUGCUUCAGCAGGGCCUCCUUCAGGGGGAGUUUUUUUUAUUUCCAUACUCCACAGCCCUGACCAGAAACGCUAGUGCUGCCUGCUGGAAUAGCUGCACCUCCUGAGGUGUGAUGUCUCCAGCCUCAAGCAGCCUGUUGAGGGUAGCUAUGGUGGUGAAGCCAAUAUUUAGUUUUUCUCCUGACAGACAGAACAAAAAGAGAUCAAGCAAAUUAAGUCCAGGUAGUUUAAACAGUAUAUCAGAUGAAAGAAUGCUCCUUUGCCUCUUCCCUGACAUCUUUGAAAUAGACAAAUGCAAUAAUCAAUAUUAUACAUUGGAUAAAAUAUAAUGAAAUAGCCUAGGCAAAACGUUUUCACAAUGGGGACCAGGAGGUUGUGCAGUAAAAAUAAAAGGAAAGAAAAAACUAAAAAUAAUUCAAACUAUUAUGGGUACUGCCAUACAAGUAUUAUGCAUAGGCCUAUUAUAGAAGUCUCUUAUAUAAAACUGUCAGAGUAGCCACGCAGCCUCUUCAACGUGUAACGUUAGCUAUAAAAAAAUAAUAGUGGGCUAAUAAUAGGCGCAAAAGCUACGACCGACCACGUACAAUGGCCAAAAUUGCAUGUGUAUCGUAUUGCAUGUGUAAUUUAUGUUGUGUAAAUCGUACCUGUAAACUCACAUUUCAGCCAGGAAAGUUCUGAUGGCUAUUUUUCUUUUCGUAUUAGUUUAUUUUAUGUAAAGGCUUAUAUUCUGCUUGUUCUACAUCUUCACUUACACUCACAAGAAAAGUGUUAAAAAUGCUAACUGGCUAACUAAUAAGAAAAAAAAAUCUAAAUUUGACAUAUAUAAUUGUAAGGAAGCAAAACAAUAUAAAUCAGGGGAUGGGGCUACCAAAAUGCUGUAGCCCAGGGGCCUCUGGAUAUCUUAAAGUGCCCCUGGCUGUCAGUGACCAACUUGUUCACCUUCUCUGGUUUAAGAUGCGGUCUUUCACUUUACUUUUUAAUUUAGCUUCAAAACCAUCUCGGUCCACACAUGAUACUGAAAUAAUGAAAAACAAACAAACAAACAAAAAAAAAACAUUAAUUUAACAACAUUAGAUGUAAAAUAAAACCCUACUGUACACAACUGACAAGAAAAACUAAUUAGAAACAGUUAUUUCAACGAAAAAACAUCAAAUGUGAAGAGUCGUGCAGGGAAUUCUCGGAAUGGCAAUUUACGGUUUGGAUUAUAUAUCUUAUUUAUAAAAAUACAUGUUCAAAUUUCUUUGCUUGACUAUUUACAUUCUUAUGUUGAACAUUGUAUUGAAUUGUUUAGCCUUGAAUUCUAUUUCAGAAAAUGCAGCCUGAGAGGAACACUGGAGGUAGAAGGGCAUCACAGACUGCUGACAAUGUUCAGGUAAGGCCAAGAUAUAUAUAUAUAAAAAAAAAAAAUAUAGAAAAAAGAUUCAGGUCUAAAAAGUUAUUUAAGGUAAUUGCUCAUGUAUCUGAAAAACAGCCAGUGAAGAAAUGCAGACCAUGUAAAUGAGCAAGCGCAAGUGAACCAGUAUUUUUCACUUAUUUAAAAAUACUCACCCAUGGAACACAAAAAGGUUAAGUAGAACUUUUGAAGCCUGUGUGAGAACCAGACCAAAAUAUAAGUAAUUAUUCCAAUAUAAUUUCAAAUGAUAAAAAAAUGUUUCACUCUGCAUUUGGUUUUGCAUGUGUAUUCAAAGAGUUUCAGUAAGUAACACAUUUCAGUCAGUUCCUCACACAAACCUAGUGUAUGGCUUUAGAAGACUUGCAAUAUAGUAACCUUUUUCUCACUCUGAUAUUCCUGUUUUUAUUUUCAUUUGGGCACAUCUUGAGUGAAAAGGUGCAUGUUACAGAAACUGAGACUUGAGUGCUACUUUUGUUUAAUUAUGCGUGGCAGUAUUAUAA
rnacentral:lncRNA from 1 species